rnacentral:rRNA from 1 species
UACGGAGGGUGCAAGCGUUAUCCGGAUUCACUGGGUUUAAAGGGUGCGUAGGUGGGGAGGUAAGUCAGCGGUGAAAUCCCCGAGCUUAACUUGGGAACUGCCAUUGAUACUAUCUCUCUUGAAUACCUUGGAGGUGAGCGGAAUAUGUCAUGUAGCGGUGAAAUGCUUAGAUAUGACAUAGAACACCAAUUGCGAAGGCAGCUCGCUACACGAAUAUUGACUCUGAGGCACGAAAGCGUGGGGAUCAAACAGG